rnacentral:tRNA from 1 species
UAGGGGAGUAGUUUAGUGGCAGAACUGCGGUCUCCAAAACCGCUGGUGGGGGUUCGAUUCCCUCCUCCCCUGU